rnacentral:lncRNA from 1 species
UCUAUAUGAGAUCAGGAGAGAGAGUCUCAGAGAAUCUGAGCUCUCUGAGUCAUGAUUUAUCUGAUUCAAAUUGGAUCUUAAUUGGAUUCAAAUCAAGUCCGAAUCAAAUCAAAUUUGAAAGACUGUCAAACCUGAUCCUAUCAAGCUUGAAAUCUAAAUCUGAUUUGGAUAAUUGAACUCAAUUAACAUUAAAUUAAAUUAAAUCUA